rnacentral:lncRNA from 1 species
UUUCUUACAAAUUUUUGCUAGAAAAUCGUUCAAUUUUAUCUUACAUAUUUUUAUCUUUUUUCCAGCUUAAAUUCUUGCUAGCAGAGUCGCAGUAUGCAGAGGGAGCUAGACCCUUCAGGACCUCAUCAAGUGGAGUCCCUUUCAUGAAACGCGCUCGCUCAAUUUUAUCUUGGGAGCAAUUGAAGGCUUCUAGAAAGAAGUUACAAAAGAUGGUACUCCGGCAAAAUGAAACGAUAGAUUUGCGCCAUUUGAAACCAGAAACAGCCCACUCAAAGGAUAUGAUUCUUACUUUGGAUGCGAAACAGCUAUUGAAAAUGAAAUCUGGAGUAUUGACAAAUCAUUAUCUGGCACUAGACUCGCCUCCAAGUUCCCUCGACCUGGAGUGGGAAAAUGAAGGUUUAUCAGCAACCAGUUGUGUUCAGAGUGACUAUGCGACGACACUUGCAACCAUAUCUUCCAAUGAUCUGUCAAGCGACCCCAGUGACCGGAGCUCUAUCGAGUCGUUGGAGUGGGAUCUCUGUAUGAACCAUUAUUCUAACACUUCCUAUGAUGGAAAGUGUCGCAUGACGCAGCUCCAAGACUUUAGUGUACAACCUUUGAAACAGUCAAACAAAGAAAGAUGACAGAUAGAGAGCACCUUGUAAAGGUUUUCAAUUUUAGCCAAACACGCAAGACUGAAGAGCUCUAAUCUUUAUGUGCCAUGAAAUGAACGUAUGGAGGUUUCAUCAGUUUCCAACCGUCAAUAGGUAAGUAAUUUCUCUUUUAUAUAGUUUUUUGCCGUAGCUAUAUCUAUUGAUGAGUGGAAGUUGCAGAACUUGCAUCUUGAUUGCGAUGUCUCUGAAUCGCUUCUGUUGUUUUAUUUUAUUUUUUUAAAAGAAGACCAGUUAACUCUAUUGUUCAAAAUCCUCACAAAUCAUCCUGUUCAAAAUGGAAAAAAUCAGAAAAUCUUACAAGAAACCAUGUCCGUUGGUUUUUCCGAGAAAAAAAUAGGAUGUGAUAAACAAGCU